UGCCAGCAGCCGCGGUAAUACGGAGGGGGUUAGCGUUAAUCGGAAUUACUGGGCGUAAAGCGUGCGCAGGCAGUUUUAUAAGUCAGAUGUGAAAUCCCCGAGCUCAACUUGGGAACUGCGUUUGAAACUGUAAGACUAGAGUGUGUCAGAGGGGGGUAGAAUUCCAAGUGUAGCAGUGAAAUGCGUAGAGAUUUGGAGGAAUACCAAUGGCGAAGGCAGCUCUCUGGCUCGUCACUGACGCUGAGGUGCGAAAGCGUGGGUAGCAAACAGGAUUAGAUA
rnacentral:rRNA from 1 species